rnacentral:rRNA from 1 species
GACGAACGCUGGCGGCGUGCUUAACACAUGCAAGUCGAACGGAAAGGCCCUGCUUUUGUGGGGUGCUAGAGUGGCGAACGGGUGAGUAACACGUGAGUAACCUGCCCUUGACUUUGGGAUAACUUCAGGAAACUGGGGCUAAUACCGGAUAGGAGCUCCUGCUGCAUGGUGGGGGUUGGAAAGUUUCGGCGGAUGGGGAUGGACUCGCGGCUUAUCAGCUUGUUGGUGGGGUAGUGGCUUACCAAGGCUUUGACGGGUAGCCGGCCUGAGAGGGUGACCGGCCACAUUGGGACUGAGAUACGGCCCAGACUCCUACGGGAGGCAGCAGUGGGGAAUAUUGCACAAUGGGCGGAAGCCUGAUGCAGCAACGCCGCGUGCGGGAUGACGGCCUUCGGGUUGUAAACCGCUUUCGCCUGCGACGAAGCGUGAGUGACGGUAAUGGGUAAAGAAGCACCGGCUAACUACGUG